UCUCUCAGGGCCUUGGUUUACUUAUCUGUAAAAUGAAGGUAUUGGGCUAGAAGAUUCCUAGCAGCCCUAACAGGUUAACUAACAGCCAACUUGGGAGAAAGGCAAAGAGACAAGAAUUCCAACGCUGGCUACUUGACAGCACAAUGUGACUGGAGUCUCUUGGCUGACUUGUAUUCUCUCACUGGUCUCAGCCCAAAUGCUUGCCCUGAUAUGGUACUAAGUUAUCCCUUCCUAGAAAAGUUGGUGCCUCACAUCCGCCUGCCUGUUGUAGAAAGACGUGAAAAGACACGCCCUGUGCUGCCACCUAGUGGUUCCUCUUCUAUCAAGGCAGGGUAGACUCUUCCUUUCUGUUCUCCAUCCACCGGCUAUGAGGGUCUAACAGGAGAGACUAAAAAUAAUGCACUUCCAGGUGCCACCGCUUUAAGGGAAUCAGGGACUAUGACUAAGAACUACAAGAUGCACAAAUCUGUUUUCAAGCCUGGAAAAUGAAGCAAAUGUGUGGUUUUCAGCUACUGUUGCAGUUCAGGGGCCUUUGUAGCAAAUGAUACUCCCCUAGACUAAGGAUCCGAAAUACAAAUGUCUAUAGAAAGGCCACGCAGAUAUCGUACUUGGAUGGAGGCAGCCAGAGGUUACAUUCUUAGCAGGAAUGUGAGCCAACUCUCUCCCUAGGAAGGCUCCUGCUGUGAAACCAUCUUUGGCAAUGAAUCUUUAACAAAAGAUCAAGAACUUGACAUUUAUUUUUAAGCACGAGAAGAAAAUGUGUGCAAUGUUGGAAGCAAGGACAGGGAUAGGAAGAGCUUCUAAACAGUUGCAGGCAGGGGCAGUGGAACAGAAAUAAAUAUUACAUAAGUGACAUGUUGGUGACUUUACUUUUGUGAAAUAGCAACUAAUGACUAGGUAUGGAAUAUAUGGAUUAUAUGAUGUUAAGGUUUAACGUCUUUUUAAAGUAGAA